CACAUUUAUCAGCUGUGGGAGUUAGAGUCUAAGGAGUUAGCUUUAUGUUGUGGAAAACCCUUUACACUCCCCUCCUUACGAACCGCCCCAUUUGUCAUAUAUGUUUAUAAUUGUUGUAUGUGUUUAUAUGUGUAAUGUAAUUUUGUAUCUAUUAUAUAAGGUUAUUUGUGUUUAUAGCUUGUAUAGGUAUUUAUACUAUAUUGGGUCCGUGUUUUCAAAGUGGUGCGACUUAUCAACCUGUAGAGUAUGGUUGAUAGUCUUGUCAGCCGAGCUGUGUACUUACAAAUGUCUUAUGCUACAUGUCCUAUUUAUGUGUGGUAUUGCUGUGAUAUUAUUUUUGUGAUUUGUGUUAAUAGACAGCUUGGCUUAUCUUCCCGUUGGCGACUAACGUUAGAAAUGAAUAAUAGAUUUUAUAGUUGGGUUUUCAAUAAACAGAGUUUACUUCAAUAUCACAAAAGAUUACCAUAAAUAAACAGAUUUAUCAUGACGUAUAUAUCCAAUAUAGAAAAACAAAAUUGACUAUUGUUAUGUUUUUUUU